UACGGAGGGUGCAAGCGUUAAUCGGAAUUACUGGGCGUAAAGCGCACGCAGGCGGUCUGUCAAGUCGGAUGUGAAAUCCCCGGGCUUAACCUGGGAACUGCAUUCGAAACCGGCAGACUCGAGUCUCGUAGAGGGGGGUAGAAUUCCAGGUGUAGCGGUGAAAUGCGUAGAGAUCUGGAGGAAUACCGGUGGCGAAGGCGGCCCCCUGGACGAAGACUGACGCCCAGGUGCGAGAGCGUGGGGAGCAAACAGG
rnacentral:rRNA from 1 species